UGUGGGGUGGGAGUGGAGGAGAUGACAGACUCCUAAAAACUGUCCUUUGACCCCAACAUGUGCCAUGCAUACACACGUGCACACAAACAUGCAGAAAAAAAAUUUAAAUCUAAAUAUCAAAAUAAUAAACCAGUCAAUAAAUGGGCUAACGGAACGAGCAGACAGACCUCCAAAGAUAAAGUACAGGGUUGGGGAUUUAGCUCAGUGGUAGAGCGCUUGCCUAGCAAGCACAAGGCCCUGGGUUCGGUCCUCAGCCCUGAAAUAAAAAAAUAAAAUAAAAUAAAGUACAAAUGGCCAAUAAACAUAUGAAAAAAGGUUCAACGCUUUUAUCCAUCAGAGAAACGCAAACAAGAACUACACUGAGAGUCUUUGUCACCCAGGCCAGAAUGGCACUCAGGAAACUAUAGAUGUGGGUGAGGAUGUGGGCAAAAGAGAACCAUCAUGGUGGGAAUGUAAUCAGUCUAGCCACUGUGGAGACUCCCCGGAAAGCUAAAAAAUAAAAAACCUACUCAGUGGCCCAGUUAUGUAAGCCAAUAUGUCACAGAGACACUGAGCAUCAGCAUUCCCUGAAGCACUAUUCACAAUGACCAAGUGUGGUGGUUGGAAUAAGAGUGGCCCCCAUAGGCUCCUAUGUUUGAAUGCUUAGUCAUCAGGGAGUGGCACUACUUAGAAGGAUUAGAAGGUGUGGCCUUGUUAGAGGAAGUGUGUCACUGGAGGUGGGCUUUGAGGUUUCAGAAACCCAAGCCAGGCCCAGUGGCCCUUUCUUCUUCUCCAGCUGCCCGUGACUCUGGAUAUAGAACUCCCAGCUACUCCUCCAGCACUAUGUCUGCCUGUGUGCCACCAUGCUCCCUGCCAGGAUGAUAAUGAACGAAGCCUCUGAAUCUGUAAGCCAGCCCCCAAUGAAAUGUCUUCUUUUGUAAGAGUUGUUUUGGUCAUGGUGUCUCUUCACAGCAAUAGAACCUUGACUAAGACACCAAGUUCCAAAGCCAGCCUAGGUGCCAUUCAACAGAAGAAUGGAUAAAGAAAAUGUAGUUUAUACACAGAAAGGAUUUUUUUUUUCAACUAUAAAGAAGAGGGAAGUUGUUUGCAGAGAAAUGGGUGCAACUGGAGACACUCAUAUUAAGAGAAUUAAGUGAGUCUCAGAAAGGCAAAUAUUGCAUUUUCUCUCAUCUGUGGGUCCCGAUCCUUCCAGAUACAUAGAAGUGUAUAUACAGAUGGCAUGGAAGUUGAAGCUUAACUGUCUGGGGAAAUGGAGGAAACUAGUUGGAACGGGAGAGAGGGGAGAGCAGCAGGGUGUGGUGGGGAGCUCAGCACCUGAUGUGCCUGCGUGGGAGUCUUGGGGGACUCUAUAGGAUGGCUAGCAGGAAGAGAGGAAGGUGGGCAAUGUCAGUGCAAGAGAGGAACUGAGCCCCAGCUCCCGGUUGCCCAGGCAACAAGGGCCCUCUUAUAGGAAAUUAGAAUAAGAGGCCAUAUACGGAUGAGGUAGGCUGCCAUUAAGGGAACGAUUAACACCGAGUCUGCCCUUGAAGCAGCUGAGGCGUGGGAGAGGUUUGUGUGCAGCUGGCAAAGGAAGACCCCCUCCAUGACCAGUCUGUUGGGGCCUGGAGUACUCAUGGGUCCCAUCUCCCUUAACUGGGGUAUGGUGACAUGAACAGUGGUGGCCAUGCCUGUGGAGUCCAACGACACACCCAAAGAGGUAGGCCAGGUGCCCUGCCCCCACUACGGUCGUCUUACAGGUGAGGACACACAGGUGGGAAGAUUUUAUACUGCAUCCAAGCUCCCACAGCUGUCUGUGAGAGAGGUGGACUUGACAACUGGUCUCUCUGAGAUAAAGCCAAAAGUCAGUUUCCAGGCAGGGUGUAGGGGUGCACGAAUAUAAUUCCAGCUCUCAGGAAGCAGGAGGAUCGAGAGUUUGAAAUCAGCCUGCUCUACAUAGCAAGUUCCAGGCCAGGCUGAGCUACACAGUGAGAGCCUGUCUCCAUGAUAACAAAAGGUCCAUCUGCAGAGCAGGCAGCCCACUGAACACCCUGAAUGAUGUGGUACCCACCUCAACAGGUGACCCCAUACCUAAAGCACAGAAUCCUUCUCCAAAAAUGAACCCCUUAGAGAGACUGAAGAAAACAAGGAUUCAUCAAACAAGAACAGAUAGCUCUGAGAAAGGAGCACACACACACACACACACACACACACACACACACACACACACACACACACAUUGGGGUGGGUGCCUGCAGAAGGAUGGCCAUCCAAGCUGAAGAAACGGCAGAAGCCACAGUUUGGGGCAUGCUCUGCCAUAGAAGCUUGCACGCACCUACUCACCCACCAGAGGAGGGCCUAAUCUGUCCUUCUCCAUGGGUCAGGGCACAGGUCGUCUGCUUUUCCUCUGGCUGACCCCACCUUGAAAGUGACUCCUUAUUCACCAGAGCGGGUAAUGGGGGGAAAAAAAAAGGCAUUGUGUUCUGGCUCAGAGCUUCUUCCAUGAGUGUGGGGGAGGGGCGGAUGCCAGUGUCUAAAGUCCUGACUGAUCAUCUGUGAUUGUGACCUAAAUUCAGAACACUCAGGUGGGAGCCGGGUCCCAAUGCUGUGCCUUAGGAAGCCACCUCAGCAGAGAGGGUGGGCCUGCAAAUCGAGCCUGAAGAAGGGACGGAGCUGAUACAUCAUGCCGAGAGAACAGAUCUCCAGAUCUCUGCCUCCACCCACGGAGCACCAGCUCUGAUUCCCUAAGCCAGUCUGAUGGGAUCGGCCAGCUUCCUGUUCCUGCUGUUAUGAUUUCCCCAGCAUGAGCAAGUCUCUCUUGAACCAUCAAACAAAAUAAAUCCUUUCUCCCCCAAA